rnacentral:rRNA from 1 species
UACGUAGGAUCCAAGCGUUGUCCGGAUUUACUGGGUGUAAAGGGUGCGCAGGCGGACUUAUAAGUCAGUGGUGAAAUCUCACGGCUCAACCGUGAAACUGCCUUUGAUACUGUAGGUCUUGAGUCAGAGAGAGAGUCGAUGGAAUUCCGAGUGUAGCAGUGAAAUGUGUAGAUAGUUCGAAGAACACCAGUGGCGAAGGCGGCUCACUGGUCCGGUACUGACGCUGAGGUGCGAAAGCGUGGGGAGCAAACAGG